GCAACUCGCCUGCAUGAAGCUGGAAUUGCUAGUAAUCGCGGAUCAGAAUGCCGCGGUGAAUACGUUCCCGGGUCUUGUACACACCGCCCGUCACACCAUGGGAGUCGGAAAUGCCCGAAGUCUGUGACCCAACCGGAAGGAAGGAGCAGCCGAAGGCAGGUCUGAUGACUGGGGUGAAGUCGUAACAAGGUAUC
rnacentral:rRNA from 1 species